rnacentral:lncRNA from 1 species
GCCUGCUGUAAAAAUAUUGCAACAGUUAAGUGUAAUGUAGGUACACUAGCAGAAAGCUUUCUUGUGUUAAAUUUUGAGUUAUUGAACUUGCAUGCUAAAUAUCCACUUUUUGAAAUGGACGUGCUAUGACGUCCCACAGUCUCAGCUUGUCUGGCAAAACAGCCGUUGGAUGUCAGAGCAUUCUCGGACAAGAAACAUGGUUGAGUCCUUCUGUUCUUUCCAACAUAGGUUAACGUGUAGGAUGAAGUUUC